UUCACAACCAAAGGCUCUUUUAAGAGGGUGCUGUUCCCUAGCAACACCAUAGACUACACUAUGCUCAACCAAAGGCUCUUUUAAGAGGGUGCUGUUCCCUGGCAACACCAUAGACUACACUAUGCACAACCAAAGGCUCUUUUAAGAGGGUGCUGUUCCCUGGCAACACCAUAGACUACACUAUGCACAACCAAAGGCUCUUUUAAGAGGGUGCUGUUCCCUGGCAACACCAUAGACUACACUAUGCACAACCAAAGGCUCUUUUAAGAGCCAUUCACAUUGCAAUAGGAGUAUUCUUCCAUUUACUUAGCUAUGUCAACUGCAGUUUUUCAAUUCAUAGUUUCUCUCCCUUUGAUUUCUACUUCUCAGGUGAGGGUGCUGUUUAGGUAAGGGUGUGAUGUCUGUGCAAAAACAAAACAGGCUAUUUUAAAUCACCCAUAUUGAAAAAAUGUAGAACAAUUAGACACCCUAUAACCCACACCUACACACUCGUGUAUCAAUCUGAUUGAUGGAUUGUGUUGUGCAGUAAGCAGGUUCAGGUGUAUAACUGUGGCUCCUUCCACCUUCAAAGAAUAGGCAAGAGGGCCAACCAUGGAGAAUAGUAAGACACUUCAUUAUUUCUAUAACUACACUAUAUUGUUUGUCCUGCAGCCACUUAGUGUGGUGUGGACACCAGGUGAGGCCACACACAGAUUCCUGUUGAACACUGUGGCUUUAACUACCUUUCUCAAUAACAGUCUCUCUCCUUCACUUCAUCCCUCUCUCCCCUUCUCCCUAAAUCCUCUAGGUUAUAUCAGCUGUGUCGGUGAACCCCUCCUGCAUCUGAACUGGCUGCAUAGAGGGCACAGCAUGGUCAGAGAUAUGUUUUGAUGUGAGAGGAUGCCAACCCCCAGUCCCAUCAUCGCCACCUCACCUGCUUUUAAGAUAACCUUUGGGCCGACUAGAGACACUGUUAUGUAAUUGUGAUGAACUGAGAGAAUAUUUAUGUAGCACUGUGAUACAUUAAUCAUGUGCUGCCUUCCCUGCUCCUAUGUGCUUACCUCUUUCCCUUUCUGUCUUUUACACCUCUCUCUCCACCUCCUCUUUCUUCCUCUGUUUUUAUAAUUCACAACAGAUUGAAGGACAGAUUGAACUUGUAUUUAUAACACUUGGAUAAUGAGUUUUUCAAUCAAGCGUUUCACAUUCUCUACUGGUUGAAAUUAAGUGUAAUGUGAUGAAAUACUCCACCUAUCCUGUGUUUAUCAGAUCAAUGCAGAUGGAGGGCAUUAGAUGUUGAGAGGAACCGGUGUUGGAGUAUUUACAUGAUGCAUAGGAAGUGUAGUGUUCUGUUUUUAACAUUAUAUUUCUGUAUAUAUGAAUUAACUAGUUAAAUCCUGUUUCUAGUCUAUUAGUUACAUGUGUAACCAUUGAUGUCCCAGGACCAAGAUUGAUAAACACUGUUGAAGUGUAUAAUUGUAAUUCAUACAUGCAGACAGCGUCAUUCAAAGACUGGAAUUUGAUACUCCUGGUAUUGGAUGACUGAAAAAUAAUCUCAAAGACAUUCAUACCUAAACUGCCCCUUUAUUUGCCAAGGUACAGUACAUGAUCAGUGAAUAUAUUAAAUGUACAGGCUACAAUGUGGGGAUCUCAUGCAUGGUAAUAACUACAUGUAUAUACGACUUGCAUCCUUGGCACAACAUGAUAUUAUAUUCUACUCAAUCCA